AACGAACGCUGGCGGCAGGCUUAACACAUGCAAGUCGAGCGCCCCGCAAGGGGAGCGGCAGACGGGUGAGUAACGCGUGGGAAUCUACCCAUCACUACGGAACAACUCCGGGAAACUGGAGCUAAUACCGUAUACGUCCUUCGGGAGAAAGAUUUAUCGGUGAUGGAUGAACCCGCGUUGGAUUAGCUAGUUGGUGGGGUAAUGGCCUACCAAGGCGACGAUCCAUAGCUGGUCUGAGAGGAUGAUCAGCCACACUGGGACUGAGACACGGCCCAGACUCCUACGGGGGGCAGCAGUGGGGAAGAUUGGACAAUGGGCGAAAGCCUGAUCCAGCCAUGCCGCGUGAGUGAUGAAGGCCCUAGGGUUGUAAAGCUCUUUCACCGGUGAAGAUAAUGACGGUAACCGGAGAAGAAGCCCCGGCUAACUUCGUGCCAGCAGCCGCGUUAAAAC
rnacentral:rRNA from 1 species